CUGACAUACGUGCAAGUCGAUGGGUUCUUAAACCUGGGAUGCACAAGGAAGCUGAUGAGUGGGAGGCCCUCACGGGUCACACCACUAGCCGACCCUGAUCUUCUGUGAAGGGUUCGAGUUGGAGCACGCCUGUCGGGACCCGAAAGAUGGUGAACUAUGCCUAAGCGGG
rnacentral:ncRNA from 1 species